AACUUCUGGAGAAGCCCGGAAAACCCGGGGGCCGAAGGUGCAAACACGCAGCGCGUGGAAUCUCUCAGGCAAAAGGACGGAAGA
rnacentral:ncRNA from 1 species